GAAGGACGGUGAUGAUGAUGCUGUCAUUACAGAAAAGAUUGCUGAUAAUCUAUCAGGGGAUCUGGUGAUAAAAGACACACCAGCAGACUAUGAUGAUGCUGGGACUGUUGGGCAGGACUCAGGACAUUUCUUUGGUUCAGGGUUGAUGGUAACAGGAGACACACCAGAGGACUAUGAUGAUGUUGAGGGUAUAGAGCAGAGCCUACAUGUUUUACCAGGUGAGAGAGCCUUGACCACACUGCCCCCUGGGGACGGCCUCCCUGAACCCGACCAGACUGACUAUGAUGAUGUGGGGGAGGAGGGACUGACAGUCCUGCCUGAGGAAGCUCCUGUCCAAAGGUUUAUGAAAUUAUUCUUCAAAUGAGCUUCAUGUUGUACAGCAGCUCCUACCAUCAUUGCUAGUUGCAUUUUUAUUAAAUUAGAGUAUUAAGGUAUUUAUUUAAAAUGAAGGCAUAAUAAAAAGCUCUUAUAUGUUCAUUUAAACACAAUUUAUGUCACAGCUUUUGUCCACCUAUAAAAUCUCUGUUCAAAAUGCUUAUCCCUGUGGCAUUUUCUGUUUUUGUAUUUUAUAUUUUCUUUUCUAUACAUUUAAUUAUAUUU